rnacentral:rRNA from 1 species
AAAUGGGAUAUCUUUAGUAAUUGCGAAUGAACAAGGAUAUGCUUAGCUUGACAAAUGGAGCUAUUGGCUUUGAAUUGUAUUUGUGGAAUGUAUUACCAACAGAGGUGCAGGUGCCAGCCUAUUAAAUAAAGCGUCAAUGAGGGUGAGAAUCCUGUUUGUCAUGUGCAGCCCUUUGUGCACGGUGUAUAUUUGCUGAGUCACACUCCUUGGCAUUGGAAUGCAAAGUGGGUGGUAAGUUUCAUGUACAGGUAAACAUGCAAUUGAGACUGAUAGCACACAAGUACCAUGAGGGAAAUAUGAAAAGGACUUUGAAAAGAGAAUUAAAUGAGUUUGUAUUUGCUGAACACAAAGUAAACAGACUUGAUUUGCUUGGUGGGAGUGUUGCACUUGCUUGACAAGAGCUUUGGGCUGUGGGUGUAAUGAUUCUUUCUUUGCAUGCCAGUUUCUAUGUGUACAUCUGAUUACCUUUGCACAUGAAUGAUAAGUCUCCUGUGGGGGGUGGAUUGCAUGUGCAUGUAAUGAUUUGUGUUUUGAUAAAUGUGUCUGGUGUAUGUGUGUGUGUUCCUGUGCUUGGGGAUGCUUCCUUCCUUGGACUUACAAGCCCUGACACACACAUGCU